rnacentral:rRNA from 1 species
AACGAACGCUGGCGGCAUGCCUAACACAUGCAAGUCGAACGAGACCUCCGUGUCUAGUGGCGCACGGGUGCGUAACGCGUGGGAACCUGCCCUUAGAUUCGGAAUAACACCCCGUAAGGGGUGCUAAUACCGGAUAAUGUCCUCGGACCAAAGAUUUAUCGCCCUUGGAUGGGCCCGCGUUGGUUUAGCCAGUUGGUAGGGUAAAAGCCUACCAAGGCGACGAUCCAUAGCUGGUCUGAGAGGAUGGUCAGCCACACUGGGGCUGUGACACGGCCCAGACUCCUACAGGAGGCAGCAGUGGGGAAUAUUGGACAAUGGGCGAAAGCCUGAUCCAGCAAUGCCGCGUGAGUGAUGAAGGCCUUAGGGUUGUAAAGCUCUUUUACCCGGGAUGAUAAUGACAGUACCGGGAGAAUAAGCUCCGGCUAACUCCGUG